rnacentral:rRNA from 1 species
AUUGAACGCUGGCGGCAUGCUUUACACAUGCAAGUCGAACGGUAACAGGCCGCAAGGUGCUGGCUAGAGGCGGACGGGCGAGUAAUGCAGCGGUACGUGCCCAGUCGCGGGGGAUAACUGCUCAACAGAGUAACUGAUAACCCAUACGCUCUUUGGAUGAGAGCGGGGAAGCGGAAGGCCUCACGCCAUCAGGCCGGCCGAUGUCAGAUUAGGUAGUUGGUGAGGUAAAGGCUCACCAAGGCAACGAUCUGUAGCUGGUCUGAGAGGACGACCAGCCACACUGGGACUGAGACACGGCCCAGACUCCUACGGGAGGCAGCAGUGGGGAAUUUUGGACAAUGGGCGCAAGCCUGAUCCAGCAAUGCCGCGUGUAGGAAGAAGGCCUUCGGGUUGUAAAGUGCUUUUGUACGGAAAGAAACGGCUCUGGUUAAUACCCGGGGUUAAUGACGGUACCGGAAGAAUAAGGACCGGCUAACUACGUG